CNUCACGUCAACAAUGGGGGAAAUUGCACAAUGGGGGGUAAUUCUCGCUGCACGACGCAGCGUGCGUUGAUGACGGCCUUCGGGUUGUAAACCGCUUUCAGCAGGGAAGAAGCGCAAGUGACGGUACCUGCAGAAGAAGUACCGGCUAACUACGUGCCAGCAGCCGCGGUAAUACGUAGGGUACGAGCGUUUUCCGGAAUUAUUGGGCGUAAAGAGCUCGUAGGUGGUUGGUCACGUCUGCUGUGGAAACGCAACGCUUAACGUUGCGCGUGCAGUGGGUACGGGCUGACUAGAGUGCAGUAGGGGAGUCUGGAAUUCCUGGUGUAGCGGUGAAAUGCGCAGAUAUCAGGAGGAACACCGGUGGCGAAGGCGGGACUCUGGGCUGUAACUGACACUGAGGAGCGAAAGCAUGGGGAGCGAACAGGAUUAGAUACCCUGGUAGUCCAUGCCGUAAACGUUGGGCACUAGGUGUGGGGGGCAUUCCACGUUUCUCCGCGCCGUUAUCUAACGCAUUUAAGUGCCCCGCCUGGGGGAGUUACCGUCGCAAAGGCUAAAACUCAAAGGAAUUGACGGGGGGCCCCGCCACAANCCGGNCGGAACCU
rnacentral:rRNA from 1 species